rnacentral:rRNA from 1 species
GAUGAACGCUGGCGGCGUGCCUAAUACAUGCAAGUCGAGCGAACAGACGAGGAGCUUGCUCCUCUGACGUUAGCGGCGGACGGGUGAGUAACACGUGGAUAACCUACCUAUAAGACUGGGAUAACUUCGGGAAACCGGAGCUAAUACCGGAUAAUAUAUUGAACCGCAUGGUUCAAUAGUGAAAGACGGUUUUGCUGUCACUUAUAGAUGGAUCCGCGCCGCAUUAGCUAGUUGGUAAGGUAACGGCUUACCAAGGCAACGAUGCGUAGCCGACCUGAGAGGGGGAUCGGCCACACUGGAACUGAGCCACGGUCCAGACUCCUACGGGAGGCAGCAGUAGGGAAUCUUCCGCAAUGGGCGAAAGCCUGACGGAGCAACGCCGCGUGAGUGAUGAAGGUCUUCGGAUCGUAAAACUCUGUUAUUAGGGAAGAACAAAUGUGUAAGUAACUAUGCACGUCUUGACGGUACCUAAGCAGAAAGCCACGGCUAACUACGU